rnacentral:lncRNA from 1 species
AUGCACAUGGGACGGUUAUUGGUACUGACAUUGUACCUACUGAACCAGUUUCCACAGUGCAUCUUUGAGCUCCUUGUUCCUCAUGCUGUAGAUGAGGGGAUUCACUGCUGGAGGCACCACUGCAUACAGAACAGCCACCACCAGGUCCAGAGCUGGGGAGAAGAGGGAGGGGGGCUUCAGGGCAGCAAAUAUUACAGUGCUGACAAAGAGGGAGACCACAGCCAGCUGAGGGAGGCACAUGGAAAAAGCUUUGUGCCAGCCCUGCUCAGAGGGGAUCCUCAGCACAGCUGUGAAGAUCUGCACGUAGGACAGCGGAUGCCAUAUGAGCCUGUGGUGUGUGCUCACCACAGAUGAGGCCAGCUGCAUACGAGGCUGCAUUAGGAAGCGUCUGGCCACCCAGACAAGGACAGUUAUUAUCCCCCUCGACUCAGCACUGGCGUGGCCACAUCUGGAAUCAUGUGUUGCAGUGUGRGMUGAGGAAUGGGGAGGAYSKGGAGAGGGUCCAGAGGAGGUCUGCCAAGAUGGUGCUUGUUGCCUGCAGCACAGGACCUGUGCAGGGAGGCUGAGGGACCUGGGCUACAUUAUCCUGGUGAAGGGGAGGCUAAGGGCAGUACAGCAGCAGCCUGUGAGUGCUUGAAGGGUGGUGUCAGAGGUGAUGGUGCUUUUGUUGGUAGGGGGAAGCAGCAUGAGAAGGGGAAAGAGCCACAAUCUUCAGCUUGAAAGAUUUAGAAUGGAUGUUAGAGAAAGAAAUGUCCCUUGAAGGGUAGUGCUGUGGUGCAACAGGUCAGCCAGAGGGAGUCUGUGGUGAGCACCUGGCUUUGUGUUUCAAGGAAAAGCAAGGGAGGGUGGAGAGACAUCAGUAAAGGUGGGGUGAGAGCAAGGUGGGGAAGCAGGUUGGGUGUCAACAAGCUGCAGUGGAACAGGCGCAGGCAUGGGACAGUGUAGGACAGCCUGGGGUGCAGAUGGCCAGGGGCACUGCCAAGGCUUCCGGCAGAACUGAGCUCUUUGUCCUCUUGGCUAGGGCUGCUGUAUCUGCCACUGAGGCCUACCAGAAGAUACCAUUUCCUUGCAGCACCGGGGCCUUGUUUCCUCUUCCUGCUGCGGGGGCCUGGGAGGUGCCAUCUCAUUGUCCCUAAUUCAGCGUGGCACACUCCCACCCUCACACUGCCCCCACAAAGAGGCCUGAGCAAAGUGUGAGGSAAGGGAUCACCCUACCCAGGAGCUGGGUGUCACUGCUUGGCCAUGUUGUAUGAUAAAACACAUCAAGGGUAACUUGGCAUCAGAGCCACCUGCACACUUCCUUUGCCUACCUGCAAUCAGGGCCUACGACUUUCUGCUCUCAUCAGCCCCUAGG